CUCUCCUCCGCCUCCUGCGACCUUUAGGCAGCAGCAGCCAGUGUGGACGAGGACAUGCCAGGAACAGGAAACACAAGAGAGUCAGCCGUCCGAGCUUCACGGGCCCGAAUCAGCAGCUGAACCCAAAUUCAGCCCACCGCUGCCUCCAAAUCUCCUCGUCCUCUCCUCCGCCUCCUGCGACCUUUAGGCAGCAGCAGCCAGUGUGGACGAGGACAUGCCAGGAACAGGAAACACAAGAG